UACGGGGGGGGCAAGCGUUGUUCGGAAUUACUGGGCGUAAAGGGCUCGUAGGCGGCCAACUAAGUCAGACGUGAAAUCCCUCGGCUUAACCGGGGAACUGCGUCUGAUACUGGAUGGCUUGAGUUUGGGAGAGGGAUGCGGAAUUCCAGGUGUAGCGGUGAAAUGCGCAGAUAUCAGGAGGAACACCAAUUGCGAAGGCAGCUCGCUGGGACGUAACUGACGCUGAGACGCGAAAGCGUGGGGAGCAAACAGG
rnacentral:rRNA from 1 species